UGGGGAAUUUUGCGCAAUGGGCGAAAGCCUGACGCAGCAACGCCGCGUGGAGGAUGAAGGUCUUUGGAUUGUAAACUUCUGUUAAUUGAGAAAAAAUGAUAAAAAAUAAUACUUUUUGUAGAUGAUGUUAUCAAUUUAGAAAGCCCCGGCUAACUUCGUGCCAGCAGCCGCGGUAAUACGAAGGGGGCAAGCGUUAUUCGGAAUUAUUGGGCGUAAAGGAUGUGUAGGCGGCAUUAUAAGUUUAUUGUUUAAUUUCCCAGCCUAACUGGGAGCAUGCGAUAAAUACUGUAUUGCUAGAGUAUGAUAGAGAGAGGUGGAAUUUUCGGAGUAGCGGUUAAAUGCGUAGAUCUCGAAAGGAACGCCAAUGGCGAAGGCAGCCUCUUGGGUCAUUACUGACGCUGAAACAUGAAGGCGUGGGGAGCAAACAGG
rnacentral:rRNA from 1 species